UACGUAGGGACCAAGCGUUGUUCGGAUUUACUGGGCGUAAAGGGCGCGUAGGCGGCGUGACAAGUCACUUGUGAAAUCUCCGGGCUUAACUCGGAACGGUCAAGUGAUACUGUCGUGCUAGAGUACAGAAGGGGCAACUGGAAUUCUCGGUGUAGCGGUGAAAUGCGUAGAUAUCGAGAGGAACACCUGCGGCGAAGGCGGGUUGCUGGGCUGAUACUGACGCUGAGGUGCGAAAGCGUGGGGAGCAAACAGG
rnacentral:rRNA from 1 species